rnacentral:lncRNA from 1 species
GGACACGAAGCGGACGUUUGAAUUUUUAUUUUGUGCAUCGUAAUUUAAUUGUUGUCCAGCUUUUACGCAUUUAUGCACUCAGUAAUACAAGUGGUAUACAUCAGUGCUUACAAUUCCUGCUACAGUAUAUCAAUUCCUGCAACAGUAUAUCAAUCCCUGCAGCAGUACAUCAAUUCUUGCAGAAUAGGUGUAACCGAAACGGACGAUGCAACGUAAAUAAACGUAAUUUGUUAAUCAGUCAGUGUAUCAGUGUUAUAAUGUGCGAUAAAGUGCGAACAAACGGAUUCGCGAAUUAACUGCAGUCUUUGUGGAAUUUGUUUGCGACGAAACAAAUGUGUUGUUGUGCUAUGGAAAAAAUCGAUCGAGAAGGACAAACUAUGCUGUGGAAGGAGCCUUCGACCCUGUUCGUAGUUUCAACGGAUCGUCUUUCCAUCCAGUAG